UACGUAGGGUGCAAGCGUUAUCCGGAAUUAUUGGGCGUAAAGAGCUCGUAGGCGGUUUGUCGCGUCUGCUGUGAAAACUGGAGGCUCAACCUCCAGCCUGCAGUGGGUACGGGCAGACUAGAGUGCGGGUAGGGGAGAUUGGAAUUCCUGGUGUAGCGGUGGAAUGCGCAGAUAUCAGGAGGAACACCAAUGGCGAAGGCAGAUCUCUGGGCCGUAACUGACGCUGAGGAGCGAAAGCUGGGGAGCGAACAGG
rnacentral:rRNA from 1 species